AGAUUGAACGCUGGCGGCAUGCUUUACACAUGCAAGUCGAACGGUAACAGGCCGCAAGGUGCUGACGAGUGGCGAACGGGUGAGUAAUGUAUCGGAACGUGCCCAGUCGUGGGGGAUAACGCAGCGAAAGCUGCGCUAAUACCGCAUACGAUCUAUGGAUGAAAGCGGGGGACCGUAAGGCCUCGCGCGAUUGGAGCGGCCGAUAUCAGAUUAGGUAGUU
rnacentral:rRNA from 1 species